AUGAUGGAGGCUGCGGAAUUUCGCCCUUGGUCAGAUCUUCCGCCAGAACUCCUGGGACUUGUUCUCAAGCGCCUCCCUUCCCUAGCUGACCGUGUUCGUUUGAGAGCUGUCUGCCACCCAUGGCGCUCUAAUAGCAGGUUGCAGACCCUUCCUCUCCCAUUCCCGUGGCUCACUCUCCCUGAUGGCACCCUCCUCGGCAUUCCAAGCGGUGAAAUUCACCACAUAUCUUUACCGGAAGGUGCGUGUUGCCAGGGCUCCAUUGACAACUUGCUAUUCCUCAUGCACAAUGAUGGUGUGUGCUACUUGAUGAACCCUUUCUCCAAGACCAGGUUGCAGCUUCGUAAGCUAGCAAAGGUAUGGAAGCGUGAGAUAUAUGAUCCCGAACCCCGAAUUAACCCAAUUUUCUACAACUUGGUGGUGCCCUUUCCACUUGACUCGUCACCCUGUUCCCUACUUGCUGCACUGAUCAUGGAUGAUGGUAACUGGGGUACACUUUGUAUUAGUCAAUCACCGAUUGUCACUGACUCAUUCAGAGAUGAUAAGCAUCCAGCAAAGCUCCUCUGUAGUGUUGCGUUCUUUGAUGGCAAGCUGUACGGGCUGGGGGGGUUUGACCAACUAUUCAUCUUUGAAUUAGACAAGGACCUUGGUAUUUCAUCCAUGGAGUGUAUAAUUGACUCUAUGGGUGAGUUAGGUGGAAUACCUCAAUCGUUGUCGGAAGAGAAGGCGUAUAUGAUAAGGCGGUAUCUAGUUGAAUGUGGCGAUAGACUGUUGAUGGUGAAACGGUGGAUUCAUCCUAUUGCCCGUUCAACAAGUGAUGACUUUUUCGAGCAUAACCGUACUGUUGCACUUGGGGUUUUUGAGGCAGAUUUGGGCACCGAUCCUGCUGGAUGGAGAACAGUAAAUGAUUUGGAUGGCCAUGCGCUCUUUCUUGGCCAGCAUAGCUCCAAGUCCCUGCGCGCUGGAGAAUGCAGUGGAUACCAAGAGGACUGCAUCUACUUCAUGUGUGACUAUUCCUGGCCAAAGCAUUCUGCAAAUCCUCUUCGUGAUGCCGGUGUUUACAACAUCAGGAAUCAGACAUUCAUGCCACUGAUGUCGGGGACUGCAGCGGUACCGCCACAUCAUGCUGGCCAGUGGCGUCCGACAUGGUUUUUCCCUCCUGAAGCUGUGUGA
rnacentral:rRNA from 1 species